rnacentral:rRNA from 1 species
UACGUAGGGGGCAAGCGUUGUCCGGAAUCAUUGGGCGUAAAGCGCGUGUAGGCGGCUUUGCAAGUCGGGUGUGAAAGCCCUCAGCUUAACUGAGGAAGUGCGCCCGAAACUGCUUAGCUUGAGUGCCGGAGAGGAUGGCGGAAUUCCCCAAGUAGAGGUGAAAUUCGUAGAUAUGGGGAGGAACACCGGUGGCGAAGGCGGCCAUCUGGACGGUAACUGACGCUGAGACGCGAAAGCGUGGGGAGCGAACAGG